rnacentral:rRNA from 1 species
UACGUAGGGGGCGAGCGUUGUCCGGAUUUACUGGGCGUAAAGCGCGUGUAGGUGGGGAAGCAAGUCCGGUGGGAAAGCCCGCGGCUCAACCGCGGAAGUUCGCUGGAAACUGCUACUCUUGAGGGUGAUAGAGGGAAGUGGAAUUGCUGGUGUAGCGGUGAAAUGCGUAGAUAUCGGAAGGAACACCAGUGGCGAAAGCGGCUUCCUGGUCCAGCACCGACGUUCAGGCACGAAAGCGUGGGGAGCGAACAGG